rnacentral:rRNA from 1 species
UACGGAGGGAGCUAGCGUUGUUCGGAAUUACUGGGCGUAAAGCGUACGUAGGCGGUUAUUCAAGUCAGAGGUGAAAGCCCCGGGGCUCAACCCCGGAACUGCCUUUGAAACUAGAUAGCUAGAAUCUUGGAGAGGUCAGUGGAAUUCCGAGUGUAGAGGUGAAAUUCGUAGAUAUUCGGAAGAACACCAGUGGCGAAGGCGACUGACUGGACAAGUAUUGACGCUGAGGCACGAAAGCGUGGGGAGCAAACAGG